rnacentral:rRNA from 1 species
AACGAACGCUGGCGGCAUGCCUAACACAUGCAAGUCGAACGAGACCUUCGGGUCUAGUGGCGCACGGGUGCGUAACGCGUGGGAACCUGCCCUUAGGUUCGGAAUAACUCCCCGAAAGGGGUGCUAAUACCGGAUAAUGUCUUCGGACCAAAGAUUUAUCGCCUUUGGAUGGGCCCGCGUUGGAUUAGCUAGUUGGUAGGGUAAAAGCCUACCAAGGCGACGAUCCAUAGCUGGUCUGAGAGGAUGAUCAGCCACACUGGGACUGAGACACGGCCCAGACCCUGAGGGGGGAGUGCGGGGGGAAAUAUUAGAAAAGGGGGGAAGGCUGAACCACUCAUGGCCGCGGAAGUGGGAAGGCCCUUGGGGUAAAAACGCUUUUUUCCCCGGAUUGAAAAGGACAGUACGGGGAAAAUAAGCCCCGGCUAACCCCGUG